AUUGAACGCUGGCGGCAGGCCUAACACAUGCAAGUCGAGCGGAUGAAGGGUGCUUGCUCCUGGAUUCAGCGGCGGACGGGUGAGUAAUGCCUAUGAAUCUGCCUGGUAGUGGGGGAUAACGUCCGGACACGGGCGCUAAUACCGCAUACGUCCUGAGGGAGAAAGUGGGGGAUCUUCGGACCUCACGCUAUCAGAUGAGCCUAGGUCGGAUUAGCUAGUUGGUGGGGUAAAGGCCUACCAAGGCGACGAUCCGUAACUGGUCUGAGAGGAUGAUCAGUCACACUGGAACUGAGACACGGUCCAGACUCCUACGGGAGGCAGCAGUGGGGAAUAUUGGACAAUGGGCGAAAGCCUGAUCCAGCCAUGCCGCGUGUGUGAAGAAGGUCUUCGGAUUGUAAAGCACUUUAAGUUGGGAGGAAGGGCAGUAAGUUAAUACCUUGCUGUUUUGACGUUACCAACAGAAUAAGCACCGGCUAACUUCGUG
rnacentral:rRNA from 1 species